GCAUAUCAAUAAGCGGAGGAAAAGAAACUAACAAGGAUUCCCCUAGUAACUGCGAGUGAAGCGGGAAGAGCUCAAAUUUAAAAUCUGGCAGUCUCUGGCUGUCCGAGUUGUAAUUUAGAGAAGUGUUGCCCGCGCUGGACCCGUAUACAAGUCCUCUGGAAUGGGGUGUCAUAGAGGGUGAGAAUCCCGUCUUUGAUACGGACUACCAGUGCUUUGUGGUGCGCUCUCGAAGAGUCGAGUUGUUUGGGAAUGCAGCUCAAAAUGGGUGGUAAAUUCCAUCUAAAGCUAAAUACAGGCGAGAGACCGAUAGCGAACAAGUACCGUGAGGGAAAGAUGAAAAGAACUUUGGAAAGAGAGUUAAACAGUACGUGAAAUUGCUGAAAGGGAAACGCUUGAAGUCAGUCGCGUUGUUCAAGAAUCAGCCUUGCUUUUUUGCUUGGUGUACUUUUUGUUCAAUGGGUCAACAUCAGUUUUGACCACUGGAUAAGGGCCAGGGAAAUGUGGCAUCUUCGGAUGUGUUAUAGUCUCUGGUCAUAUACAGUGGUUGGGACUGAGGAACUCAGCAUGCCGAAAGGACGGGUCUUUUAAGACUACGUUACAUGCUUAGGAUGUUGGCAUAAUGGCUUUAAUCGACCCGUCUUGAAACACGGACC
rnacentral:rRNA from 1 species